GUAAGGGAUAUUGCGCAAUGGGCGAAAGCCUGACGCAGCAACGCCGCGUGGAGGAAGAAGGCCUUCGGGUCGUAAACUCCUUUUGUGAGUGACGAGGAAGGACGGUAGCUCACGAAUAAGUCACGGCUAACUACGUGCCAGCAGCCGCGGUAAAACGUAGGUGGCGAGCGUUAUCCGGAUUUACUGGGCGUAAAGCGUGUGCAGAUGGGACGACAAGUGGUGUAUGAAAUCUCUUCGCUUAACGGAGAGAGGUUAUGCCAGACUGUUGUUCUAGAGAACGGGAGAGGGACGUGGAAUUCCGGGUGUAGUGGUGAAAUGCGUAGAGAUCCGGAGGAACCCCUGAGGCGAAGGCGGCGUCCUGGCCCGAUUCUGACAUUCAGACACGACAGCAUGGGGAGCGAACGGGAUUAGAAACCCUGGUAGUCC
rnacentral:rRNA from 1 species